rnacentral:rRNA from 1 species
AGUGAACGCUGGCGGCGUGCUUAACACAUGCAAGUCGAACGAGAACGGAUUAUAGCUUGCUAUAAUUGUCAGCUAAGUGGCGCACGGGUGAGUAAUGUAUAGGUAAUAUGCCUCUUACUAAGGGAUAACAAAUGGAAACGUUUGCUAAUACCUUAUACUCCUUAUUAACAUAAGUUAAUAAGGGAAAGAUUUAUUGGUAAGAGAUUAGCCUGUAUUGUAUCAGUUAGUUGGUGGGGUAAUGGCUUACCAAGACUAUGACACAUAACUGGUUUGAGAGGAUGAUCAGUCACACUGGAACUGAGACACGGUCCAGACUCCUACGGGAGGCAGCAGUGGGGAAUAUUGCACAAUGGACGAAAGUCUGAUGCAGCAACGCCGCGUGGAGGAUGACACAUUUCGGUGCGUAAACUCCUUUUAUAUGAGAAGAUAAUGACGGUAUUAUAUGAAUAAGCACCGGCUAACUCCGUGCCAGCCGCCGCCGUAAAAC